rnacentral:rRNA from 1 species
GAUGAACGCUGGCGGCGUGCCUAAUACAUGCAAGUCGAGCGAACAGACGAGGAGCUUGCUCCUCUGAUGUUAGCGGCGGACGGGUGAGUAACACGUGGAUAACCUACCUAUAAGACUGGGAUAACUUCGGGAAACCGGAGCUAAUACCGGAUAACAUGUUGAACCGCAUGGUUCAACAGUGAAAGACGGUCUUGCUGUCACUUAUAGAUGGAUCCGCGCCGCAUUAGCUAGUUGGUAAGGUAACGGCUUACCAAGGCAACGAUGCGUAGCCGACCUGAGAGGGUGAUCGGCCACACUGGAACUGAGACACGGUCCAGAGUCCUACGGGAGGCAGCAGUAGGGAAUCUUCCGCAAUGGGCGAAAGCCUGACGGAGCAACGCCGCGUGAGUGAAGAAGGUCUUCGGAUCGUAAAACUCUGUUAUUAGGGAAGAACAAAUGUGUAAGUAACUAUGCACGUCUUGACGGUACCUAAUCAGAAAGCCACGGCUAACUACGUG